CUGUGCUGCAGAAGUUUUUCAGGGAGAGAAGUUUGCAGCAAUGACAUCAGCUCAACAUCAUCUGGCUACUCCUGAUUCUGCAGGACUAAAACAAUUCUCAGGAGUCCUGGCCACCAGCCAGUGAGGAGAAGGAUUCUUCAGGUGUGGUCCGGCUCAAGGACAUCUGGCCCACCUGACAAAGGGGCUUGCUUGUAAGAUCUGACAAAGCACGAAGUGUGGAACAGGUAGGCGGGGACUCCCAGGCCCCGUGAAGAGCUUCA